GAGGGUGUAGCUCAAUUGGUAGAGUGCUUGCUUAGCAUGCAUGAGGUCUGGGGUUCAAUCCCCAAUACCUCCA
rnacentral:tRNA from 1 species